UGUUACAUACUACAUGAAAGGUAAUUUUAAAAAAAUCCAUAAUAGGGGCACUUUAAGUCUCAUCUGUGACACCGGGUGUAACGAAGCGAGACUCAGGCGGGGAUCCAUUUGCUAGCUUUAUUAUAAAAGAACGUGGUUGUACAGGCAGGGUCAAAGCAGGGGCAAACAGGAACAGCAGGGACAGGCAGAAUCGUAGUCAGGAUACAGGCAAUAGUCAGGGCAGGCAGAAAACACUCACAGAACAGUAUACCAGGCAAGGAUCAAAGGUAGGCAGCAACGGGUCGAUAACGGGUAACAGACAGGAUCGGAAACAAACAGGCAGACAGGAAAUAAACGCUCAGAAUUGCAACAAGGGUUAACAAGACUUCGCAAUGAGGUGGUGUGUGUGUGAGUCUUUUAUAGUCCAGGUAAUGAUCUGCAGGUGUGUGUGGCAAUUGGUGAUUGGAGUGGAGUGUGCAUGUGAUAGGCAAGGAGGAUUAUGGGAAAUGGGGUCCAGGAACUGACAGGAACAGACCGUGAUCGUGACAUAACGCCCCCCUUCCGGAUGGCGCGUCCUCGCGGCGUAAAUGGCACCGAUAGGGAGGGGGGGUGGGUGCAUUGGAGACGUAGACAGAAACAGGGUCUCCAAUGCAGAUCCAGGAACUCAGGCAGCCACGGUGGGUCAUGUGCCACGGGCAGCCAUGGUGGGUCAGGUUCCACGGGCAGCCAUGGCGGGUCAGGUUCCACGGGCAGCCAUGGCGGGUCAGGUGCCACGGGCAGCCAUGGCGGGUCAGGAGUGUCGGGAGGCCACGGCGGGUCAGGUAGCUCGGGCAACCACGGCAGGUCAGGUGGCUCGGGCGGCCACGGCAGGUCAGGUGGCUCGGGCAGCCACGGCAGGUCAGGUGGCUCGGGCAGCCACGGCAGGUCAGAGUCCGAAGAUGACCACGGCGGGUCAGAGUCCAUUAAUGGCCAUAGCAGGUCAAAGGCGGUUGAAGGCCGUGGUCGUGUAAGGUCCCCACCCACAAGCUCAAGCAGUUCGGAGGCCGCUGAUGAUCGCGGCCGUGCAGGGUCCCCACCCUCA